UUCCCCAUACAAUUUGUCUUUUCAAUAUCAAAUCUCAAAAUCUGGCAACCAUUUUCUCUCAAGAAACCCUACAAACUUAUCACAGCCCAAAUCCAUGUCGGUACCAAGAAGACCACGCUAAGAUGUGCAAUUCCUCUUCAGAUUACAGUUUGUUUCUCUUCAGGCUUUAGCUUUGUUUGCAGCAAGAACAACUUCAGCGGUGUAAGAUUUCACCGGAUCAAUUCUGAUUUUGCUCUCAUCAGCGGCUGUAAAUGGUGGUUGUUUGGUUAAGCUAGCGAUUCCGACCACUUGACAAACUUUAAGGAAGAACCAUAGAGAGAGAAGGGAAGGAAAAUCUCUAGAGAAGGUAUAACAUGUUAAACUCUAAAAUGAUUCAAAUGUGCGACAGGACUUAGUUGAACAAAAACCCUAAUCGAGUUGAUUCUUGAUCGUUUGGUAUUGAAUUAAAAAGGAUAUUCAAGAAUUAGGGUUCUCGAGUUGAUGAUUGUGUAGUUUUAUCAAAAUCAAGAUUAGGGUUUGGUAUAGUUUUUGUUGUUAUGUAAUUGGGAAUGUUGAAUUUUGGUUAAUUUUGAUGAAAUUGUGAAAUGGGGUUAAGUGUUUAUAGAUAGAUCUAAGUUGGGAUUGAAGUAAGAGUGAUGGCAGAAUCAGUAGCAGCCAAAGUGAAAUCAAUCUUCAUAUAUCCAAUAAAAACCAGCAGCGAGUACGGAACAAUUCAAAUUUAAUGGCACAACUGUUUCAGAGUGAUCAUGAGUUGGCACAAAUUAUUCUUGGGAAUGACUUGAAUAAGUUACAAGAUGUCUUACGGGUUCGUCAUUGCCAGAGAACUGAAUACAGUCGGCAACAAGAGGAAGAGAUGGCUGGGUUAACAAGCUCAAGCGUGCUUCCUGAAUCUCUUGAAAUUUGGCUCCACUGUUAGGCAUUCGCUUUCAUCACGGGCUUUCGAGAAAGAACAGCGCUGCCUACACAUCCCGAGCAUUGAUCGUACCACAGGUGUACCUGCUCCUUAUGUUAUAGUUGUGGCCUCCUCAUGUUCUCAUCAAACUUAGUUAUGUUAUGUUAUUGUUAAGGUGAUUCUUGGAAUGUCAGCCUUGCCACUACUGUUUCCAGUAAACGAGUGAAAGUAGUAGAAAAAGUUAGUUUGACUUGAAGAAGUCAAGACGUGUGGGAUAAGUUUAUUAGUUGUAUAAGUUCAGCUCUGCACAUUUUAUCAAGUACCAGGGUGUACUUUAGCUAAAAAGUUGUAAUCGAAAGCGUGUCGCUAGAUGGAAGUUCGUCUUUCGUUAUUGGCCUAAUUGCGAUAGCAGAACAUAUGUUUUAGAAGGCCUCCGACAAAUUUUUGGCUGUAAAGAAUUUGCAAGCAUGUGAUAUAGAUUAUAAGAGGUGGGAAGAAGAUAUACAGAAAUGGACAAAGAUUAGAAGAGACAUGACAUGGUUCAAGUUUCUUUUCAUGGCUACACAUAUCCUUAUUGGUUGCAAAAGGUUCUUACCUGUCAAACCUGACCAGAACCGACCCGACCCGGAACUGUGAAUCAGAACUGGGACGGAACCCUUCUAGCCAUAACAUGGGUUGAGUCCUCGACCAGAAUGUGAAGCAGCAUACUUGCAUGGAAUUCUCGAAUCAAUAACUCGCAUUGAGGAGUGCAGUGGCAAUGGCGCAUCGAGUAAAUUGGCCACCAAACAGUGAACGGGUCACACGAGUCGCGGGUUUGAACGGUUAAUUCCUCAUGGUUUUAGCAGUUCAUUCAGUUUUGUCAAACGUUUGCCUUAGUGUUACUGGUUAAGAAGCUCUUAAUACCAGUAAAUUUGAAGAAGCUUGUGGCGUUAGUGUUGCGCACUUUCCAUGAAAUCUUUGAAGAGAAAAAGAGUGCAGUCAAGGUACAAUGGCUUCCAUCGCAUGCCUGAGACACGGGGUCUUUGCCUUUCGGAGGAGCAGACCGUUACAAGUAUACCCGUAUGAAGAAGCUGUAACCGUGGCCAUAUCGAGCAUUGCAAUGCCAUUAAAGAGGUUCAUUUUGUGCUUUUCGCGGAUGAUAUUUACAUUGUUUGGUUGAAAAAGGCGGGGGAGUUGCUCCCAAAUUAGCAUUUGUUUCGACUUCAGAUGUCUACCUUUAUCGAAAUAAUUAUCAUUAUUUAUUACUGAUAUGCAGGUUCUGGACUGUAAUAUAGAAGUUUGGUUGGUCCUCACUUCCAGAUUAUCAAAAUGUCUUUUUUUUUAUUUGGUCCCCGGAUAAUGACUGAGGAAUCCAAACACCGACAUGAUCAAGAAAAAGAUGAACACAUAUUACAACAGAAUUGAAUAUUUAAACAUGUUUUGAUUUUAAAUAUAUAACAAAUCGAGUAAGAUGGCUGCAUGCCUAUCACCAUCAGUUCCAAAAUGUUG